GUAAAAGUUAAUUGGAAGAAGAAACUAAAAUGAAGGGGAAAAAGGGAGAAGAGAAAAUUAUAAAAAAAAAAAAGAAAAAUUCCCUCUGCCUUUCUGCCUUCUCUCUCUACAGCAUAGGAAUUAAUUAGAUGCAAACAAAAACAUGCAAAACCCAAUUGCAUAUUUGUUUGCUUCAAUAUUUUUGUCUAAUGGGUUUCGCUUUUUGAGCCUGUAGAAGUCAGAAAACUCUUUUAACGGAAGAGGGACUUUCAGAAAUUGACACAAACCAUGGAAGAACUAAGUGAAGCGCAUUCUGAGGACAAUAAAGUUUCUCAAGAUAAUAACAAGAAGAGACGGCUUAAGACACCUGGCCAGGUUAUGGCUUUAGAGAAAUUUUAUAAUGAGCACAAAUAUCCUACAGAGGAAAUGAAAUCAGCACUUGCAGAGGAGUUAGGAUUGACAGAAAAGCAGAUAUCUGGAUGGUUUUGCCACCGGAGGUUAAAGGAUAAAAAAUUGUUGAGAGAUGAAAAGUUCACUAAUGGACGACAAGAUCGUUCAAGCGGAAUUAUACAGGAUCGUGGCAGUGGACUUGGGCAAGACUCAUGUGGCAGUACUAAGAAUGCAGAGUAUAGGCAUGUCGAUCCAAGGGAAGUUGAAAGUCGAAGGCUUUAUGGGCAUGAUUUUCCGACUGCGGAACUCAGUCAUGAUCAAAGAAGUCAUUAUACCGAAAGAGUUAGUGGUGUAGAUAAUACAUCUUCAGAAAGUAGCUCAUCGUUACAAGAUAGGUUGUUUUCUCAAAGUGACGAUCCUUAUGAUAUGGAAACUUCUAGGUACCUAAAACAUGAUGGAGUUAUUGCAGGCGCAAAUCCAAAGGUCUCAAGAAACAUGGGAUAUAAGCCCUCAGGAUAUCUGAAAGUUAAGGGUGAAAUAGAAAAUGCUGCUGUUACGGCUGUCAAGAGGCAAUUGGGGAGGCAUUAUCGGGAGGAUGGUCCACCACUCGCUGUAGAAUUUGAACCGCUUCCUCCUGGUGCAUUUGAAUCCCCAGGGGAUCCCGGCCAUGAGCGAUACUACGUUGAGAAUUCUGUUCUUCCCGAUUCUCCUGACAUUUCUGGAGUGAAAAGGCAACCCAGUCCUAGCACUAGAUAUGAAGUAUAUAAUUCAAAGGUCAGUUCAAAGGACUCCUAUGUUCACGAAGCUCCUAUGAUGCAUGUAUUUGAAGGUCAGGAGAUUAAAUCUGGCAACCAGUCAAGGAAAAAAUCAACUUAUCUUAAUCGUACUAGUUCUUUACCUGGACGAAACUCUACCUUGAAUACAUAUGAUGAAUCCGGUUACAACAGGAAUAGUAGGAUGAGCUCUAAACAUGGUGUUGAAGGGAUGAUAUCUGACUCUGCCCUAAAACAUCAUGGUCAAUAUAGUGGGAAAAUCUCUAGGGAGCAAUCAGUUCCUUGGUUAGAUGAGGAUAAUAACACAAGCCCAAAAAUUCUCCAAAGGAGUGAGUACUCAAAAUUGAAGCCUUCAGUUUCAAAACGUUAUGGCCAUGAGAUGUUUGAUAUGAAGGACAGAAGGCAAUCUAAGAUUAUGGCAAAGGCUCAGGAGGAUAUAUAUAAUGAAGAAGCUAAAGCCACAAAAGAGAAAUGCAGUCCUGUUAAAGUAAAGAUGAAGCCAACAAAUGAGAUGAUGGCUGGAAAGAAAGUUAUGGUUGAUUGUUCACAGCAAGAUUAUGGUACAAAUUCUUCCAUUGCUCCUUUGCCGCCACGUAGUCAUCUCGUUAUAGGUUGAUGGCGGGCUGUUAUUGAAGGACAGUUGUAUUCUACUCAUGAUGAUUGGUGUCUUACAUUCUUGAUCUACCAUGGAGAUGCCAUCUAGCUUUAGUGAGGAUGAUGAAACUGCAGAAACCAGUUCGUCUGUGGAUUGAUAUUUGAUGGAUGACAAGAAAACCAUGAAGGGGUUUUGCAAGGCUGUUGGGAUGUGUAGCUAAUUAGAUCAUGUAUUUUACUAUUCAAUUAUUGCAGCUAACUAUGUUCCUUGCCUUUUCAUUAGUCCAUGUUUAUAAGUUUAGGAUUUAUUUUGUUUUUGUUAUUACUGCUUUACUUGCAUAUAAUGCAGAUAAAUUUGGUUGUAAAUGCCAUGUGCUUGGAACCGGGGCUAAGAAUGUUCCACAAAAAGAAGUUACAAAUGUUGAAACUUUGAAGGAAAAGUUGUUGAAUCAUGCGUCUUACUCUGUAUAUAUGUUUUUGAAAAAUUAUAUAUCAUCAGAACUUAUUUCA